UCUCCUGAUUGUGCUCUCUCUCUCUCUCUUUCAAAAAUAAAUUAAUUAAGAAAAUAUUACAAAAAUAUUCCCAGGAUUAGUCAUUAAGUUUUUUAAAUGCCUGAUAGAGAGAAUUUAUUGUGUGACCAUCUCUGUUGAAAAUGAAAGCAAAAAGUCAUGUUUACAUAUGUUCAAAUGAUAAUUAUAGGUCAGAUACUAAUAUGAAAAACAAAUAGCCUAUCCUAUUUUUUAAAUCUUUUGGAUUUAAGUCAUAUAAAUGAUACACAUAAUAAUACUUGUUUCAGUGUAAUGUUAAUGGAGACUUAAGAGUCUUUAAAUAUCUGGUAGUGUUUUCAGUUUCUUAGCUAGGACAUGUGUCUUCAUUACUGGAUUCACAGGUCAAAGGAUGUGGUGAGAGGACCGACACAUGGACGCUUUGAAAAUUAAAAAAAAAAAAAGUAUAAGUACUUCUACAAGGAAAUCAAAUAUCUUAAUGGCAAAAAUGGUCACACACUUAAAAUAAUGGUUGAUACUUAUAGAGUGUCUUUUCUUUACAUGUGAAUUAUAACCAAAAAAAAAAUGGUUGCUUUAUGUUUCAGACAGAAAAUCUUAGAAAUAGAAAUGUUUCAUUUGGCUGCUUUGGUGACAGACCCAGAAAUGAAUGUUGAAGCUGUAUAAGAGCUUGGGACUUUGGCAGGAAUCCUCUCCCUUUCCAUUUUAGGUCAAUCUCUGCCUCUAGAAACGGACUAAACCUUCUCUGGUCCUCCUGGAAUUAUCAGCCUGUGACUUCCAGCCCGUAUGUCCUCUGCCCUGAGUGGUACUUUAACCAGAAUCAUGAAAAAUUCACUAAUGAAAGCAAAUAAAAGGGCGUGGGUAUUUUAUUUCAAUCCUUUUGACCCUGUAAAGUAUCCAGUGGAUUUCUGUCCUGGGUUCAUGCAGGGGUAUAGGAAAGUAACUCUCUGGCUAGACCUUAAACUCCAUGUGGGGACACGUGGUCUAACUUCCUUGCUUUCCCUGUCUCACUACCAUAUUUCCCUGUGUGCUCCCAGAAGCUGCUCAACAGUUAGAGCUGACAGACUUGAAUUCUACCCUGAGGCUUAAGAAGUCAUCUCUGGGCAACUCUGCUGUCGCAUGGCUAUUUCAGAGCUAUGGCUAUUUCAGAAAGGGACAAAGGAAAGCCCUCUUUUGCCACGUGUGUUGUUCCAGGGUGAGAAGGCUAGAGGAUGUGGAAAGGAUGCUUUGCUCUUUAAGUGCCUGCCUUUCAGCACAAAGCAAACUGCUGCUCUUUUCUUUAUAAUCCACUUUAGUAAAGAUACAUAAUAGACAUUAUAUAUAAUGCAUGUAAAAAUUCAGAAAACCGAAAAGUUCUCUGACAGUAACACCUUGCAACUUGAUGCUAGAGGAAAUAUCCUUGUAAGAUGAACAUGGUGCCUUUUGUAGAAAUUGCUCCUUCAUUCCCAAAGUUUAACUGGCAGGCGUAGCAUUUCAUUCCAUCUCAUAUAGUGACUGAUUGCUCGGGGCAUCAUAGUCCUUUAAAAGUCAUGCCUUUACUGCUUUUCAGUAAUUGCAUUCUGUGUGUGCAAUGAUCUGAAAGCUAUUUGAGGGAAAAGAGCAUAAUAUUACAUAUAUGUUAGAAAAAGGUGCCAAACCUCUGCCUCAUUUCCUGAUAUUUGAUGACUCCAAUGGUGCUGAUUGAAUAACAGCACGGCCACAUUGCUAAUUUGCAUUACUCUGGUUUGCAAUUUAUACAUACUUUUAUUUAAAAAGAAAAAAUAAACCUAUUUGAGUCUUUCAUUCAUGGUUAAUUAGGUGAUUGAAAGGGUCAAUCGAUGAUUUACCAAAUAAAUUUCUAAACCACUGCAGUGUUACUUGCAAAGCAUCCAGCAGUCAAUAAAUGAAUUAAAGGAGAAAAUAUUUAAUGCUGAACAGAGCAUACAUUAAAAUAUAAUAAUCCAGGAAAAUGCUCCUUAUACAUGAGGAGCAAACUGGCGGUUUAUUAGAGCCAAGGUUAAAAGUCCAUAGGGAGAAUAGCAGGAGAAGAAUGUAGAGGCCAUACCAAUAGGAGUACAGUUCCAAUUAAUUUAUUGACAUAAUUAGCACAUGGUUGUUAAUAACAUUGCAGAAGCAGUUGGCAAGUAUGUGUACACAUGCACCAUUUGAAUGAAUUCAAAAGAACCCUGUACUUAUCAUAAUUAAAUUAUUAGUUCUGGGAAAGCAACGCAGACUAUAGAGGCCAUAGCAGCAGGCCAAAAGUCAUGCAUCCAAUUUAUUUUGUCACUAAAAUAAAAUGUCUGGAAUUUUUAUAUCUUAUCAAGCUGAAUCUAUAGAGCAGAAAUUAUUACGACUAUCAGGAUUGAGUGGUCCACUUGUAACUUCAGCAUUUGUGAAACCAAGGACCCGAUCACCUCACGGUUUAUAAAAAAGAAGCAGGGAAACAUAAAAAUAAAAUUUUUUGAAUGAAAUAAGUCUCUUGGCCAAGCAAAUUCUCCACUUUGAUAUCUUUGCUCCUGGAUAAACAUGUAAAAAGGAGAGCUAAAAGAAUGAAGUUUCAGAUUUUCUAAUGACUACACAGAAUUCAAUGCAUAGUACAGAGAAUAAUCCUGAUUAUAGUUAAAAUUAUAGAUUUUUAAAAAACUUUCUCACCUUUUUCCUUAAUUAUGUCUUUAAUGCUAUUUGCUUUAAUCCUGCACUGCUUUUGUUCACCUGGAGAGAAGGAUGCAGACUUUAAUCACGUGGAUUUCAUCCUAGCGGAGCUGUUGUGUAUUGGACUUGUUAAAGUCAAUGAAACUUGUAAGUAAACAAACCCAAAAAUGAAGAAGAAAGAAUAUUCUUUAGGGGAAAAUUCAGACUCUGGCAAUUUUAACAACAACAACAAAAAUGGAAACAUGCAUGAAAAGAUAAAUUCUUCACCAUAUGCUUCCUGCAGAGGGAAAGUGCAUCUUGGAACAUUCUGGAUGAUAUGGAUCUGCAUAUAACUGGGUAGUACUAUGAAAAAACUGAAGGAAAGAUGAAGUUAAUUGUCCAAGUUAAAACAGCUGAAAAUGUAAUUGAUAUAACAUCAGUGAGACUUUGCUGGCAAAAUUGAUUCAAAUCAAACCAGAAAAAUUCAGCCUCAAGAACUGAAAAUGAGCUAAAAGAUGGUUCUGGUGAGCAGGUGCCUGUCCCGCGGUGUCCGACAAGACUCGUAGGUUCCCACCCAUUUCUUCAGCAAAUGUCCAGGAAGCUCUUCAUAUGUUCAAAAGGAGAAUCUUUCCUUUCAGAAUCUUGAGUGAGUGAGAACCUGGGUAGUGAUGUUCACUCUCCGUGUCAAUGACCAGGUAUGUUGCCAGUAUGCUAAUAUUCCAUUUGAGGAAUCUCCUGUUUUAACACAAUCUUCAUAGGAUUUAGGGGAUUUCCACCAAGACUAAGACUCUUUUUUACUUAGAGGCACAUUGUACAACACACCAAAAUCACUAUAACCUCCUGCUCCCCUACAAAAUCAAAGGUGUUUUUUGCACACUUUACAGUGGGAACGUGCUUUUUCCCUUUCAGGUCUAGAGUCCCAAAUCACAGGGCAGUGGUGGUUGAAAUGACUUGGACAUGAAUUUAAGGUAUAAAGUACCAUCUGUUUUAAGCAGUUAGGGUAAAGAUAAUGUGAGAGACAGUUUCCAAGAUAGAUGGUUAUUGGAAAACAACAUUUGGUUGAGGAAUUGCUAAAACAGCACAGUCGGGUCAUUUCCAGUCCAUCCAGUGUUCUGUGACAGAAGGAGAACAAAAUGGUGUGACAACAGAAGUGGUGCCACUUUCCUGCCCGUGGUUUAGCUCUGGAGAUUGGUGUGUUGUAUUACAUCAAGAGAACACAUCACAGGCCUACUCUGUGAGUCAUCAUCAAACAAGACCCAGCACUGGUCAGAAAUGCAGCCAUCUGCCUUCUGAUGCCCUGAGCCCCUAUCCCUCAAUGGCACGAAAUCAGUUUCUAAGGUGUUGGUACUGGACUUCAGUUAUGGAGCUUCUACAUUUUAUUAGACAGUGUCCCCAAACGUCUUGGCAGACAAUCAAAUAAUGGAAGGUACCCAGUGUCCUAAUUCGGAUCUGAGCCAUGUUAACCUCCCAUCCCUCUGUAUUUGUGCAUUCUCCUUUCAGCCAUUUUUACUGUUGUCUUUUUCAGAAUUAUAGAGAUGUGUGAAGGUCUUAUUUUCUUGUUUGUUUGCUCCUCUUAAGUUCAUCCUCUCUGGUAUUAAAUGUGUGUGAUUCUCUCUCUCUGAAUUCCCCAGCAUUGGCUGACCUCUGUUUAAAAUACAGAGACCCAAAGUGAAAACGCCCCUGCAGAUCCAAAACAUCAGUCACGCAGAGGCUUUGUUUUCUUUCGCCUUGGUUAGAGGAGAGCUUUUUGUCCACAGCCCAAGUGAUUCCUGCACGUCUGUUCCCAUCUCCUCUUGGCAAUGUCUUUAUGAUGAAGCGUCCACUUUCACCAAACCCUCGUGGUCCCUGCUGCUCUGCUUCCCAUUAACCGUGUGUGUUUCUGCUUGUUUGUCUCCAGAUGUAUUCGUUAGCAUUUUUCCAGUUGAAUCUCAUCCUGCUAUUUCUUGCUCAUAUUGCUAACCUCUCCAGGGGCCCAUAUGCUUCCACAGCUCUUGUGCCAAAAUCACAGAGCAUCUUAAUACAAACCUUCCUUCAAUGUCUUCACACCAGCCAAAACCACAGGCUCAAUGGACUGCCAGUCUGAUUUACAACAGGCUCUGCUGCAGCAUAAUAGGACAGUCACCAGGUUUGGCACUGAAUCAUAACCAUGCUAUUUCCUAGUUAUGCAACCUUAGGCAAGGUGGUUCCACCCUUGAGCCUCAGUUUCCUCAUGUCCAUUCUAAAAAUGGUAACUGUCUUGCAUAGUCAGAAUGUGAGAUGAUGGUUGCUAAGUAUUCCCUAAGUUCCUUGGCACAGUGGGAGGCACCUCUGUCUCCAGGGAUAGCAGAAAAGAACUGAGAUUGUUGGUAAGCACCCAAGGAAAAGACUAUGCCACACUUAGACAAAACUGGGGCAUUAGUGAAAUGACUGUCUUUAAAAAGUAAACUGUGAAGGCAAAUUGGUAAAAAAAAAAUGAUGAGCACAGAAAAUUGGCAUUUGGGGCAAUGUUGUUCUCCUAAAUCAUUUGAUAUUUGUUUCUUGCGGACAGGCUUCUAGUUCUUUGAACACACUGUGCUUGUCCACACCUGCAUGUCUAAAUAGCAUUAUCUUUCUAUACAAUGCCUGUCCUUUCCCAUUAUGUCUUCCCGCCUAACUUUUCUUCAGCCUUCAAGAGUCAGGCCAGGCAUCCCCUCCUGCAGGAAGCUGCCUUAACCUCCUCAGGCUGAAUUAAACACUUAUGUCUGUGCUUCCACACCAGCCUCUGCAAAUCUCUCAAAGCACAAAUCACAUUACUGUGAUUUGGGCUGCACUGUCUAUCCCUGCUCUUGUCUGUAAACUCUGCAAAGCAAGGGCUACCUUCCACUUUUGUCUGUACUCCAGAGCCAGAACUAUUUGAGAUACUAAAUGAACACUGAUGAAGGCAUGUGCUAAUGAAUGAGUGAAUUAAUGCACCCAC